rnacentral:rRNA from 1 species
AACCUCAGGUCAGGCGGGGCUUCCCGCUGAAGUUUAAGCCUAUCAUUAAGC